rnacentral:rRNA from 1 species
GAUUGCCCUAGUAACGGCGAGUGAAGCGGCAACAGCUCAAAUUUGAAAUCUGGCUCUUUUAGAGUCCGAGUUGUAAUUUGCAGAGGGCGCUUUGGCUUUGGCAGCGGUCCAAGUUCCUUGGAACAGGACGUCACAGAGGGUGAGAAUCCCGUACGUGGUCGCUAGCUAUUGCCGUGUAAAGCCCCUUCGACGAGUCGAGUUGUUUGGGAAUGCAGCUCUAAAUGGGAGGUAAAUUUCUUCUAAAGCUAAAUAUUGGCCAGAGACCGAUAGCGCACAAGUAGAGUGAUCGAAAGAUGAAAAGCACUUUGGAAAGAGAGUCAAACAGCACGUGAAAUUGUUGAAAGGGAAGCGCUUGCAGCCAGACUUGCUUGCAGUUGCUCAUCCGGGCUUUUGCCCGGUGCACUCUUCUGCAGGCAGGCCAGCAUCAGUUUGGGCGGUGGGAUAAAGGUCUCUGACACGUUCCUUCCUUCGGGUUGGCCAUAUAGGGGAGACGUCAUACCACCAGCCUGGACUGAGGUCCGCGCAUCUGCUAGGAUGCUGGCGUAAUGGCUGUAAGCGGCCCGUCUUGAAACACGGACCAAGGAGUCUAACAUCUAUGCGAGUGUUUGGGUGUCAAGCCCGAGCGCGUAAUGAAAGUGAACGGAGGUGGGAACCCGCAAGGGUGCACCAUCGACCGAUCCUGAAGUUUACGGAAGGAUUUGAGUAAGAGCAUGGCUGUUGGGACCCGAAAGAUGGUGAACUAUGCUUGAAUAGGGUGAAGCCAGAGGAAACUCUGGUGGAGGCUCGCAGCGGUUCUGACGUGCAAAUCGAUCGUCAAAUUUGGGCAUAGGGGCGAAAGACUAAUCGAACUAUCUAGUAGCUGGUUCC